rnacentral:piRNA from 1 species
UGGUGAACUGGGAAGCAGUUUUGGUGU